GGGUGUGUGUCAUUCACAUGGUCAGUGGACAGAAUCCAUGGGCAGUGGUUUUCCUUUGGUUGGAUGCCACCCCACCAUCUAUCUUAUCCGUUGGUUUGGUGAAGAUUGGCAUGCUGAUAUGGUGGGGUACGCAUCCAUCAUUCAAUGUUGGAAAACUCCGCGGUCCUCGUCCGUCUCUUGCUCCACAUGCACUGGAUGUCAAAUGAUAAAAGAUCACGGGAGCCUUUGCCCGCAAGUAACUGGUUUUUUUGGGCCCCAA
rnacentral:lncRNA from 1 species